CCCUAGGUCUCUAUGCUGGAUGCUUGAUGGCUGAAAGUUCCGACGCCCAAGGAUGGGUCUGCGGCCUAUCAGGUCGUAGUUGGUGUAACGGACCAACUAGCCUUCGACGGGUACGGGCCUUGAGAGAGGUAGCCCGGAGAUGGACUCUGAGACAUGAGUCCAGGCCCUACGGGGCGCAGCAGGUGCGAAAACUUCGCAAUGUGGGAAACCACGACGAGGGGAUCCCAAGUGCUUGCACAAUGUGUAGGCUGUUUCCAUGCCUAAAAAGCAUGGAGAGUAAGGGCUGGGUAAGACGGGUGCCAGCCGCCGCGGUAAUACCCGCAGCCCGAGUGGUGGUCGCUAUUAUUGGGCCUAAAACGUCCGUAGCCGGCCCGGUAAAUUCUUGGGGAAAUCGGUCAGCUCAACUGACCGAAGUCCGAGGAGACUGCCGGGCUUGGGACUGGGUGAGGUCAGAGGUACUUCAGGGGUAGGGGUAAAAUCCUGUAAUCCUUGAAGGACCACCAGUGGCGAAGGCGUCUGACUAGAACGGAUCCGACGGUAAGGGACGAAGCCCUGGGGCACAAACGGGAUUAGAUACCCCGGUAGUCCAGGGUGUAAACGCUGUGGGCUUGGUGUUGGGAGUCCCACGAGGGCGCCCAGUGCCGGAGAGA
rnacentral:rRNA from 1 species